rnacentral:rRNA from 1 species
UACGGAGGGGGCUAGCGUUGUUCGGAAUUACUGGGCGUAAAGCGCACGUAGGCGGACUGUUAAGUCGGGGGUGAAAUCCUGGGGCUCAACCUCAGAAUUGCCUCCGAUACUGGGAGUCUCGAGUGCGGGAGAGGUGAGUGGAAUUCCCAGUGUAGCGGUGAAAUGCGUAGAUAUUGGGAGGAACACCAGUGGCGAAGGCGGCUCACUGGACCGGAACUGACGCUGAGGCGCGAAAGCGUGGGGAGCAAACGGG